GUGGGUGGCUCAAUGUUUAGAGCCCAGGGCUUGUGACCGUAAGCUCCGGGGUUCGAUUCUCUCGAUUUUUUUACA
rnacentral:tRNA from 1 species